rnacentral:rRNA from 1 species
AUUGAACGCUGGCGGCGUGCCUAAUACAUGCAAGUCGAGCGAACGGACGAGAAGCUUGCUUCUCUGAUGUUAGCGGCGGACGGGUGAGUAACACGUGGAUAACCUACCUAUAAGACUGGGAUAACUUCGGGAAACCGGAGCUAAUACCGGAUAAUAUUUUGAACCGCAUGGUUCAAAAGUGAAAGACGGUCUUGCUGUCACUUAUAGAUGGAUCCGCGCUGCAUUAGCUAGUUGGUAAGGUAACGGCUUACCAAGGCAACGAUGCAUAGCCGACCUGAGAGGGUGAUCGGCCACACUGGAACUGAGACACGGUCCAGACUCCUACGGGAGGCAGCAGUAGGGAAUCUUCCGCAAUGGGCGAAAGCCUGACGGAGCAACGCCGCGUGAGUGAUGAAGGUCUUCGGAUCGUAAAACUCUGUUAUUAGGGAAGAACAUAUGUGUAAGUAACUGUGCACAUCUUGACGGUACCUAAUCAGAAAGCCACGGCUAACUACGUG